rnacentral:rRNA from 1 species
CAAUAGCGUAUAUUAAAGUUGUUGCAGUUAGAACGCUCGUAGUCGGAUUUCGGGGCAGUCCGACCGGUCUGCCGAUGGGUAUGCACUGGCCGGAGUGUCCUUUUUGCCGGAGACCGUGCCUACUCUUAACUGAGCGGGGGCGGGAGACGGCACUUUUACUUUGAAAAAAUCAGAGUGUUUCAGGCAGGCAGCUCGCUCUUGCAUGGAUUAGCAUGGGAUAAUGAAAUAGGACUUUGGUGCUAUUUUGUUGGUUUCGAACACCGAAGUAAUGAUGAGAAGGGACAGUCAGGGGCACUCGUAUUCCGCAGAGAGAGGUGAAAUUCUCAGACCCGCGGAAGACGAACCACUGCGAAAGCAUUUGCCAGGGAUGUUUUCACUGA